ACCUACCCAACAAUAUUUUUGAUUUUUCUGCUAGCAUUGUUUGACCUGCCUUCAUUUUCAUAAUAAAUACAGAACUCAUUAUUGACUAGGAACAGAAAAUGAAACAUGAUUGGUGUGUAAGAAUCAAAACGCGUUGUCGCUGACUGGUACUGCCAUAUAUGCCCACCAUUGAUAUUCUAUAUCUAGGUCACGUCAAACAUCAACAUUACUGGGCCUUUUUCUGUGAAGUUACAUGUUCGAAAACAAUGCACAAGUUCACAAAUGAUUAUUCUAAUACAAGUUGAUGUAAGUAUCUGCUUUGAAAACUAUAUAAAUUUGAACGCAUCGAAGCAAAUAGCUAAAGCUAUCUGCUGGCAAGGAUUAGCAUAUCCAUAACUAAGAAGAAUAGAGAUCGAUGGGCGUGUCUUCUCUUUACCGUUUUCUGAUGGCUCUUCUAGUUAUCGUUUCCUCUCUUUUCUUGCAGUGCCCCAACGUUAAUGCAGGCAUGACGAUGAGGAAACUGGCUGGAUCUUUGCCAAGAACACCACCUCCACCAAAAGGGUCUCUGCGUAAAGCACCAAUUUUCAAACCACCUCUAGCACGACCACCUCCACCACCGAAGUAUAGCUAGACAUUUUUGGGAAUGAUCAACACAAUUAAUAAAGGAUCUAUGUAUUCUCAUAUGAUCACGUCUCUAUUAUUCUUUCCUUACAUGCAGAGCGAGUAAAUUGCAGAAGCUGGUCUUCAAUUUUACAGGGAAACUUAUGUAACUUCUUUAUUGUAAUAUUCAACACCGUAAUCAUUCUUCUCUAAA